rnacentral:ncRNA from 1 species
AUAAAUUUUAGUGUUAAUUUAAUUUUAUUUUAAUAAUAAAUUUAUUUAUUAGUAGUAAUUAAUAUUAAAUAAUUUAAGAAAUUAAGAUUUAGUAAUAUAAAAAUUAAUAACAAAUUUUGUGCCAGCAGUUGCGGUUAAACAAAAAUUAAAUUAAAUUUUAUUAGUAAUUAAUUAAUAAAUAUUAAAAUAUAAUAUAAAUUUUAAAUUAUUAGGUGAAAUUUUAAUUUAAUAAAAUGUUAUUAUUAAUUUGUGAUUUAAUAAAUUUUUAUAAAGACUAGGAUUAGAUACCCUAUUAUGAAAAUUUUAAAUAUAAAUACUAAAAUAGUAAAUAAUUAUUUAUUUAAACUUAAGUAGUUUGGCGGUAUUUUAGUUCAUUUAGAGGAAUCUGUUUAUUAAUUGAUAAUCCACGAAUAAAUUUACUUAAUUUUUAAUUUUGUAUAUCGUUGUUAAAAAAAUAUUUUUAUUGAAAAAUAAUAUUUUAAAAUUAAAAUUAAAAUUUAAAUCAAAUCAAGAUGCAGAUUAUAAUUAAGAAUAUAAUGGAUUACAAUAAAUUUAUUUAAAUGGAUAUUAAUUUGUAAAAAUUAAUUAAAAGUGGAUUUAAAUGUAAUUUUAUUUAAUUUAAUAAAAUGAUUAUUAAUUAAAAUAUGUACAUAUUGCCCGUCGCUUUCAUAUGAAAAUAUAUAUAUAUAAUAUUAUAAAUAUAAAAUAAAUUGAAAUAAGUCGUAACAAAGUAGAGGUACUGGAAAGUGUUUCUAGAAAGAC